rfam:Pteropus alecto contig43274, whole genome shotgun sequence.
GUCUAUGGCCAUGCCACUCUGAACAAGCCCAAACCCAUCUGAUCUCAGAAGCUAAGCAGGGUCGGGCAUUGCUAGUACUUGGAAGGGAGACCACCUAGGAAGACCAGGUGCUGUUGGCG